rnacentral:tRNA from 1 species
GGAGAGAUGGCUCAGUGGUUAAGAGCACUGCCUGCUCUACCAGAGGUCCUGAGUUCAAUUCCCAGCAACCACA